CAAAUACGGGGGGGGGGGGUGGCGGCACGGGGGUGGUGGUGGAGGGGUGGGGAGGUGGGCGGGCGAUGCCAGGGAAGCUCCGGUGUUGAUGGGUGGUUUAAAAGCUGCAGAGUGGCCUCACUCACAGGCCCAACCUGAACAGAGAGAUGAUGGACACCUCAGGGGUGACAUUUGGGGAUUAGGAACAGGAAGACCAGGUGUACCUACCUGUUCCAAAGCUGUGGCUGUUUUUGCCCCGGGAAGUUCAGGUUCUUGCUGGGCUAUUGUUUGUGGAAAAGAAACUGAGAGACAAAAAGACAUGGGGCAAGCCAUUAAUGGUGGUUCAUGCCUAUAAUACUAGCACACCGAAGGCUGAGGCAGGGGGAUUGCUGUGAGUUAGAGGCCAGCUUGGAGGGGUACAUGAUGAGAUCUUGCCCCAAAACACCAAUAAAGAAAGGAAGGAAAGAAGGAAGGAAGGAAGGAAAGAAGGGAGAGAGGGAAGGCAAGGUUGGGCAUUUGUGGGCUAUGAUGGCCUCUCAUAUCCAGGCAUUGUAGAGGGUGGGUAAAAGCCAGAAGCAGGAACGUGGUAUGUAAGAAGGAAGGUACAAAGGAUCCUGUGAAGGAGACAGAGGCCUCAGGGAGGAGGAGGGCAACUCAGAGUACCUCAGAAGGUUAGAGUGGGUGGGGGAGAGGAAGCUGAGGAGUUCUUCUUUAGAAGGCAAUGUCCAGCCCUACCUUUGGUGUAGUGGAACGCUUUCUAGGGGAAAGGUCUUUGGCAUCUGACCACAGCAGCCAUCUUUGUCCUUCUUUGGAGACAGACUGACAGUGAAGUGGAGGAGUGGUGGCUGAGGAGGCCAUGUGUGUAACUUAGAGAAGCCUCUUAUGCUCAUAGAAUCCUGGGACCAACUGAGGCAGGCUUGAGGCAGAGUCCAGUAGCCCAGCAGGCUCUCCAGGCUGCAGCCUGGCUGCUUAUCAGAGUGUUUCUGAACAGCGUGUGUGUGUCCCUUUGCUUCCAGUUGACCACCUGGGCACAGGUUUCCCUGAGUAUCCGUGGGAAGGAGGGCACAGAUCUACCCUGGGUGGCUGUAGGAGCCACUACUCCGGAAUAGAUCUUUCCUUUUGCGGUGGCAUCAGCAGGUGCCAGGAAGGACAGUGCCAGUCCUCCCGAGGCUAGGAACAGCAAAGCUCUGUUGCCACAGAGAUAAGGGAAGUGAAGAGCAGGUACAGCCUUGUAACAGUGAGCAGUAGUGAGGACGGUUUAAUUCCAGGGGGCCUCGGGCUCUGUGUGCUUGUGGUGAUACUGCCAGCUGACUGCCCUUCCUCUUCUCCAGUUCCUCCUUGCGUCUCCUAACCCAGAAUCCUAGACUGGAUCUGGGAGGCGUUGGCUGGGCCAGGUAAAGGGAGCCAGCUAAGAAGACCCUAGAGAUGGGGGGCUGGUUUUUAUCUCCACAGAGGUUUGGAACCUGUAGGGAAUGGCUGGCAAACUCCCACUUCCGCACCCUCCCCCGUAUCCCCUUCCCCCGUCUCCGCAUGCCAGCACCUCCGUCUUUUCCUGUCUGCUUCUCCCACUCUAGUCUUUGGGUCUGGGUCCGUGUUUCUCAUUCAUGCCUAGGUCUCCCAGGCAACCUUCCAUAGCGCACACUGGAAGAGACAUCAGUAGAUCUGCUCCUGGCUACAGCUGCUGAGAGGGGAGAGUGGAGACCGCAGGGCUGUCCCUUCCAGGGAUCUUCAGGAAUAAGAAGGGAUGGCUUUCAGAGUGCGGAGAACAUCUGGAAUGUUCAGACAGGGCUCAGAGUCUGAAGUCCUUUUCUCCUUUGGGCCCUCAAGUAAACAGCUGUUAACAUUUUACAGCAUAUUCAUGAUCCUAAGGCGCCCUCCAGUGGCCAGCUAGGAAAUUGCAGUUCGUUUAAGAGGAAGUAAAAGCGUACCCUUGAUGAGCCAGUUCACACCAGGCACCAAACACACACACACACACACACAGACACACACACACACACACACACACACACACACACACACACAGACACACAGACACAGACACACACACACACACACACACACACACACACACACACACACACACACACACACACACCAUUAAAAACAGGCUGGAAGCUGAGAUAAUUGGGUACAUAGAGGUGUGGCCUCACUUCCUAUUCCCAGUCUCAACUCGAGCCCCUUCAGCCUCCAUGGCCAAUCUGUGUGGGACUGGGCUGGAAUCCACCUAGAUGGUCAGUGAUGGCAGGGGCCAGUGAGGAGCCCGGAAUGGAGCUCAGUAGGAGGGGCCCUGGAUAGGCAGUCAAUGACUGGGGACACAUAUGUCCUCUUUACUGUGAAUCUCUGGGUUCGUGUGGGUUUGUCUAUGCUCAGCCCAGUGAGUGGCACUAUUAGAAGGUGUGGCUCUGUUGGAGUAGGCGUGUCACCGUGGGUGUGGCUAUAAAACCCUCAUCCUAGCUGCCUGGAAGCCAGUACUCUGCUAGCAGCCUUCAGGUGAAGAUGUAGAACUCUCGGCUCCUCCUGCACCACGCCUGCCUGGAUGCUGCCAUGUUCUUGCCUUGAUGAUAAUGGACUGACCCUCUGAACCUGUAAGCCAGUCCCAGGUAAUUGUUGUCCUUAUAAGAGUUGUCUUGGUCAUGGUGUCUGUUCACAGCAGUAAAACUCUAAGACGGCUGGUAUCUCUGGUAAUUCCUUCUAGCCCAGCAUCGCCUGGACUGUGAGCCCACUUCCUGGACACACAAGAUCUGUCUGUCCAUCCUCCUGAAGCCCCUCUAUGUCAAGCUGGCAAGGCAGACUGUGACUCUCCUAUGGCAAACUGUAGUGUCAUCGGGUUUCUCUGGAGCCUCCAUGAGAUUUGCCUCCCACUCCUCCCUCCACAGUGCCUCCUCAAGUGAGCAUCCUUCUGGAGAAGUCUCUGUCUGCUUUCCUCUCUCCUGCUUUUCCAAGUCACUGACACUCAAGGAAGAAAGCAGGUCUGACCCUCUACUGUCCCUGCCCCUGCCCUGCAACCCCAAGCUCCUGCUGUGGCCAAGCUGUCCAAGUCUCUACAAAGGUGAGGCGGAAUCUGAUAGAAAAAAGCAACCAUGUCUGUUCCCCCCUCGAGAGGCACAGCCGUGUUCUGCCUCGCAGGCAGUAGUUGUAAACUGAGGUGGGCAUCCAAGCAGACAGCUCUCUGCAUCACCCUGUGGUGACACCUUCCAGGGACACCUCCCCAGGCUCAGCUCCUAUCAUCUUCACGUUCUCACUCUGGUCUUCCCAGGUAUUUGACCUCUCUGUGGCUCAGUGUUCUUGCUUGUAAAAUGGACUAGUCUCGAUGAGUGGACCAAGCUCCUAGGUGUGAUGUAAACACCCUGCCUCGGUUUGUCUGUGGCAUGCUGGGAAGUGGGGGGACUUAUUUACUGAUCUCCCUGCCACUCAUAUAAGAUCUCACGUAAAUAUACAAACUUAUAUGUGACCUCACUAAAGUGACCAUUCUUCCCCCAGUUCACAGAGAGGAAGGCCUAGAUAGGUAAGUGACAAUUCUGUUUAAGGGCUGGCUGAGGGUUUUGAACUUGGAAUCUGAGUGCUUCCAAAAGCUUUGGACAUCUAGAAAGGCAUAGAUGGGCUGGAGGCAGAACACGUGGAAGGCUGGAAUGGAGAAGGGAUACGUCCUAUGGGCUCAGGAGAGUAUGGAGGGGAGUGAGAGGCCAGGCAGCAAGGAUGGCUUCUGAGGUCUUGGUAACCACCCUGUUUCCCUGCAAAGUGGGGCUUCUGACUGAAGCUUUGGGUGGUCCAUAGAUCAGGCCCAGGAUUGAGCUGUACAAGAAAACAGCUUGUACCUUGGUAGCAGCAGCUGGAAGAACCUCCAAGAUGGUACUGAGAAGCCAGCAUCCCCCAGCACCAGGCUCUGGAGAAUCUGGCGAUGCUCUGGGUUCAGCAGGUGGACAAAUCAGCAGGAUGCCUGGGGAAGGAGAAGCUAGGGAGGUCGCUGUGUAAGCCCAAGUCUAGAUCCUGAGUCCACAGCCACCAGAGGUGGCUUAUUAUCCAGACAUAGCAAGUUCCUCUCCUUUGGAAAAGCAGAAUGACUCUUGAACUUCCUCUCUUUCAUCUAAACUGAAAGGAGCCAGUUUUCAGAGCUGUAGAGGCGUGGGAAUGGGGACAGUUCCCUCUUGUGGCAAUAGUUUGGUACUGCAACUGAGAAGCCAGAAGCAAGCUUGUGAUGCGUCAGGCUCUCUUUAGCGUGCAGCAUCUAGGAGCAGAGGGUAGGGCUUGCAUAGACACUGCCUUUAUGACUCACUACAAUAAGAGCGGUUUCCUCUGGAGACUAUCGGGGUACCAGGCAACCAAUGAGAGCAGCAAAGGGCACAUGCUGGCUCCUGGCAUGAGCCAACCCUGUGCCAGCAUCCCAGGAUAUGAGAUGAAGAGGUUAUGUCCCAUGCCCUCCACCACCAAUGCAAGAGUCAGCAAAGAACAACAGUGCCCCUGUCACAAUGGGCAUGCAGUGUUCCAGCCACUGUCAUUUCUCCCUCAGGUGUGGCUUCUGAACAUUCCUGGGUUAUUGGUGUCACCAUUGCACUCAGGGUUAUCAUGCUACAGAGGCUGAGGUGAUUAGAUGUCAUGUCUGGGUAGGAUUUAUUUUCCAAGACAGGGUUACUCUCUGCAGCCCUGGCUGUCUUGGAACUCACUCUAUAGAUCAGACUGGCCUUGCACUCAGAGAUCCAUCUUCUGCCCAGGGAGGGCUUUCAUUUUCUUCCUUCCCUUCCUAGCCUCUGGGACUGGGAAUGCUAGUUCUCAAGGAGGCAGCUUGCAGAUCAGAUCCUGCAAGGGUCUGUUGGUCCUGUGUGCAAACUGCAAGGUGUCUUCAGCAAUAGGGACUCACCUGCCACUUCUGAGGGGCAACCAAGAACGACAGGGGCCUAUAAGGUUUUGGGAGUCUCUCGGCAGCCUUAAGCAACGACUCAAAAGAGGAGUCCUCGUGUCUGCUGCUUUGGCUUUUGUUAGAUAGUCUAUGGCUUCUGUGAGAGCGCUGUCAGCUCAGAUGGGAAAAUGUCAUUAAGCUAUACAUGUAUAUACAGACUUAGAUGUAUUAUCAGUAAUUAUCAGUAAUAGAUAAUAUUGGUAUUUUUUAGGCAGAUAGUUAAUAGUUUAACUCCUUGUGAUUAUUCCUUACAUCUUUGUUGUUAUUUUGCCGCCCUUUCCCCUUCUAUAUUUCUACCCUUCCUCCUGUUUGUCCACCUUCCUCCCCCCAGAUCACUACUAUUCUCCCGUCACUGUCCACCCCUCCUGCCAUGGUCCCCCUUUUACUUUUCUAGUUUCUGAAGUUACUGGAGAAAUGAAAGCGGCUGCCAGCUGUGCCAGCACAGAGUCCGAGGCCAGCCAGGAACUAACACAGAGAAGCCCUGUCUCCAAAACAAGAUCAAGCGCAAAUAGAAUGGCUAGGAAACAUCCCAAAAUAUGGUCAGCAUCCCUGGCAGUCAGAGAAAUGCUAAUCAAAACAACUCUGAGAUUUUACUCCAGUCAGAAAGGCAAAGACUGGACCAUAUCUGUCUGCACAAUGCCAUGCUUCCCACCAUGAUGAUAGUGGACUGGACUGUGAGUCUGCCCCAAUUAAAUGUUUGCCUUUAUAAGA